GCUCGUGCUUGUAACUUCUGUUUCUCUUGCACGAAGAGGAAAAAGCUUUGGGCAGGGGGGCUAUGUUGCGCUUUUUGGACUCCCAGGAGACUAGGGAGAGGGAAGUGACGUCAACAACGCAGCAAAUGCAGAUUGGAUGUUGAUUUUGUUUUCUUCUGUCAACAUCCAAUCUGCGUUUCUCUAGUCGUUGACGUCACUUCCCUCUUCCAAGUCUCCUGGGAGUCCAAAAAGCGCAACAUAG
rnacentral:SRP_RNA from 1 species